CGCGCCGUUAGGACCCGGAGACGGCGUGCCGGCGGUGUACGGCCUGGACGUGACGGACGCGUCGCGGUGGGAGGAGACUGUGCUGGACCCCGCACUGCAGAUACUGGAGAGCCUGAGCAAGAGCGAGGAGCCAGCUGUUCAGCCAAUCAGAGUAGAGGAGGCGCAGCGGAGGAACAAGCGCAGCCGCCACGCGUGUGACCAGUGCGACAAAGUGAUCAUCGGGGACCUGGAGUGGACCGCUCACCUGAAGUCCAAAAAGCAUCGGCAUCACGUGAGGAAGAGGUUGAAGUCCGACCCUCCUCCCUCUGCUGCAGGGACGGUGGGGGGCGACUCGGAGGACUCCGUUGCCCCGGGCCGCACGGAGGCGACCCCCGGGGAGGUCGUCGCCGGGACGCCCCCUGUGACCUCGUGAGAGUGGACUCGCUUUCUGCUGCCAAUGGAGUCACAUUUGAACCCUGGUGCCUCCAUUGAUCUCAUUUUGUGGGCUGGACUCCGUCCUGCAGAUUUGUGAAUUGAUAACGUUGCACCUCAGUGUCGCAGGACCUGAAGCACCUGAAGGACGACUCUCACGGAUCCUAGGAGUUUUAUUUUGAAGGAGAUAAAAGAAGUACACGAGGUGCUUUUACAUGAUUAAGACAUAGCUUAAUUUAAAAGAACAAAUCUGACAUUUGCUGCAACCAGGAACUAUCAUUUUUAAAUGCCCCCCCCCCCCCCCCCGGCCAUACGGCCCGUAAUUACACAAGAUGUUUGUUAGCAUUUCAUGGUUUGUUUUCUUUGUCUUUCACUUGAACCUUCAUGCACUUUAAAAACAAACGUUUUUUUUCAAUAAACCAAAGAAGCUUCUCA